UAGUAAUAAUCUUCGUUUUCAAUCGAAUAAACUAAUAUGAAUUAUAAUAAUAUUAGAUAAAAUACUUAAUUAAAACUUUACAUACAAAUUCUUAUUUCGGAUCGAUAAGUAUCUCAUAGUCGGAUCUUUAAGUGGAUCCGACCCGAUAACAUGCGUAGCUGCAGCUACGCCGUUCCCCGGACUAAACUGCCCCGUCGUCCUUUCCUUCAUAUAUAUAUAAAUAGAGAGAGAGCGAGAGAGAGAGAGAGUGAAGCCGGCACCAAGUCACCUACUACACCGACGCCAUUACAACCCACAGCGACAAGAAAGAUAGAGUUGGCCGUCCCGGAGGUUGGUAGUCGAGCUCUUGGAUCGGUCCCGUGACGGAAGGUGAGUUCUUGGCGCGAUCGGAGGUGAAUUGAUCGGCCUGGGUGCUCUCUUGUCGGCUUUGUUUUUCUUGAUCGAGCAAAUCAGUUGGGUUGAGUGUCGCGAUCGGCGAGCCAUUGGUUCUUGCUGCUCGCUAUCCUCCGCAUUGCGAGAGGUCGUGAUCAUUCUGGUGGGUUUCUUUGUUUCUUUGUCUUGGGCGUGGGAAAAUUUGGGUAUUGUCGAGGGGCUUCAUCGGGAUGGUGGAUGCGGUUCCCGUUCUGAUUGGUAGAUCUGAGGAGUUCUUCGAUCUUGAUUGUGGAUUCUAUUGGGUUUUUGAUGACUUCUGAUGGUCCGGUUCGUGAAUUAGAACUUGAGACGGGUUUCGUAUUCUGGGGGGUGAGUGUUUAAGGUUUGGAGUUGUCGAAGAGGAACUGAUAACGUGGUCGCUGGUUGAGGAGGAGGUGGCUUCUUAACAUAGAGGGAUGGACUCUGACACUGUUCUUGAACAUGCAAUGUUCCGGCUCUCUCCGAGACGCUCGAGGUGCGAAUUGUUCGUAUCUGGCAAUGGGAAGACUGAGAAGAUAGCAUCUGGAUUCUUGAAGCCAUUCAUCACUCACUUGAAGAUUGCAGCAGAGCAGGCUGCACGUGCGGCUAGUUCUGUGAAGCUCGAGGUUGAGAGGAGGAAGAAUGAUGGAACAUGGUUUAAGAAAGGAACGGUUGAAAGGUUUGUUCGGUUUGUCAGGACACCUGAAAUUCUGGAGUUAGUCAAUGCAUUUGAUGCAGAAAAUUUACAACUGGAAGGGGCCAAGAGAGUAUAUUUGCAGGGUCCAGGAGAUCCACUUUCUGGUCCAUUGGGUGGAAAUCAAGUAACUACUGAAGCAACAGCAGAGAUAACAAAGAAGGAGCUUCUUAGAGCUAUUGAUGUGCGGCUUGUCACGGUUAAGCAGGACAUAGCCACAGCUUUUGCUCGGGCAUCUGAUGCUGGAUUUACCCCUGACAGUGUCUUGGAGCUUCUUCACUUUGCCGAGUACUUUGGUGCAAAUUGCCUGAAUGAAGCAUGCACCAAGUUCAUUUCACUUUGCCAAAGGCACCCUGAACUUGUUACUCUUCAACCCCUGCCACAGUCGUUGCCUCCGCCACUAAAGAACACUAAUUAUUGGAAUGUUCAAACUUCCUCUAGCUUAGAUAUGUCAAUACAUGAGCCAGAAGUCGAGCCCAAGGUUCCUGGUAAACCACAUCAUGGAUGUGGCGUUAAACUCCACAUGCCCAGUAGUAGCCAUCCAGCACAGGAAAAUGCAGCAGAGUUGUUGGGUACAUAUCAGCAACUUAAACCUAGUCAGCCGAAAUUUUUAGAUAGAACAGUUGGAAAGGUGGUGGAUGAUCCUACUCCCGCUGCAUUGGGAACUGAGCCAGCUCAACAGGAUGGAGGGGACUCCAGGCAUCUAAGCGUGCAAGACCGUAUCAAUCUCUUUGAGAGCAAGAAGAAAGAACAGCCUGCGAGUUGCAAAAAUCUCAGCUCUAAUAUUGUUGUUAAUAGAAUUAUAGCAGGGAAAGGGGGCCAUAGGAGGUUCCCCUCUGAUGCCUCAGAUAAGUCAGUGUUUAGAAGAUGGAGUGGUGCAAGUGACAUGAGCUUAGAUCUUAGCAGCAGUGUUGGUAGCAGCUUCAAUGACAGAGAAGGCUAUGGGAGCACUUCUGGCACUCCUACAACUGUCAAUUUGUGGCUUCAAUCGGACACUGAAAGUAAAGAGAGCAUGGCAACAAUGGCAGUCACAGCAUCCUCUUCUUUGUCUUCUCAUGCUGAGUUUAAAGGUCUCUCAGAAGAUAAAGAUCAUACUGAAGUAGAUGGUAACAAGAUUUCAGUAGCCCAGACCAAAGCCUUAGAUGAUGAGCAAGGCAAGCAUCAAAUGAGCGCUUCUCUUGGUGGGGUGAAAUUUUAUGAAUUAAGUGAUCAAGAUGCUUCUCGGACCCAACAAAAGGGCCUUUCAGAAUCAGGUGAUUAUGCACCAGGCUAUCAACCCAAGUCCAAAGUUACCUCAGAAGAUUAUUUACAAUAUAAAGAACAUAAGGCUCUGCAGGCCACAUCACAAGCUGCAGCAAAGAAAGGUGGGUCGAAAGAUCAAGAAAUUUUCAGGUCUCAAAUUAGAGUGAUUCCUUUGCGACCAGAUGGAGGUGGAGCGAAGGAUCAAAUAACAUUAUAUAACCAACUCAGGACUUUCAGGAGAAAAGGAGAUGAUGUUACAUUAAAGGCCAAAGUUUCUUCAGAUUUUCAAAUUAAGCCAAGUACCAAAUCAACAAUAUCUUUGGAGUCCCAGUCUCAAGGGACAACCUUUCCUAGUACAACAGUGGAAGGUGGUGGGGGAGAGGAAGCUGCUACUGAGCAGACCUUUGGACCUAUUCCAGUCGAGAAAAAAUUAGAUUGGGACCUAGGAAUAAAUUUGCAUAAGCAACCAUUGGCUCCUGACUAUAUUAAUAAGGCUUGGAGUUCUGAAAGAAAAAAAUGGCCCGUCUCUCCCGUGAGGAGUGCAAAGGAGAGCACAGAAUUACUUGAUCUGCCUUCUACAUCUUCAGUAGAGCAGGUUCAGAUGACAAAUCUGCUAAGAGGAGGAAAUCGAGAGCUGAAUGAGGGGCUUCAAAUGAAGGCUACAAGAUUGGAAGAACAUUUUGCUGCAUUCAAACUCAGAAUUCAGAAGGAUGAGGCCGCAGUCUUUCAAACAAACUUACCUGCAGAUGUCCAUAAAGAUUAUGUGCUGAAGGGUUCGGAGAAAAAAAACACAAUGCCUCCUACAGACCAAUUAUCUGAGAAGAAACUUGUGAAGGAGACUUAUAUUAGGGAAGUAGAUUUUGAUGCUAACUUGCUGUCAGACAUGGUAGAUAAUCAAGAAUAUGAGAGUAACUUGAGCCCAAAGUUCAGUGAUCAAUCAGAUGAUUUUAGAGGAAAAUUCUAUAAUAAAUAUAUGCAAAAAAGGAAUUCAAAACUACUAGAAGAAUGGGAAUCAAAAAGGACUCAGAAAGAAGCAAAGAUGAAGGCAAUGCGUGACAGCCUAGAACGUAGUCUGACUGAGAUGAGGGCUCAAUUUGUAGGAUCUGCUGCUGGACAAAAGUCAAACCGUGUCGAUCAUUCUGCUGAGUAGUGAAGUUCAUUUAGCAAUACUUCGGCUUUAAGAAAUAAAGAUCAGGGACAGGAUUAAGAAUAUUACAAAUAACCAGGAAACAUCCUGCUGUGAGUUAUCCAGGAAUAUGAAGAAUCAGUUUCCCAAUUCAUCUCACUUCAGAAAGGAAAAUGCAAAAUUAUCAACAUUAACCAGCAGGACAAGUGCACAAGUGCUGCCAACAAUCUUUUCUCAAAUCAAGAGCAUUAUUGAAGAGACUGAUUUUGUUAGGAGGACAAGCCAUAUGUAUUCAGUCCAUGGGGAAAAGCAAUGCUAGUACCAAUAAACUUAACGAGCUUUGGACUAUUAUUUCUGAUAGUGGAUAUUCCAAGGAGCAAAAUAAUCCAGAUUCUAUAAAUAAAGUCCAGAGAAGUGCAGAGUCCAAACUACUACUGAGAAAAGCCAAUCUUAUUGGUCAUGGUUCAGAGUCUGGUAUGAAUUUUCAGGAUAUUGUUGAUGAACGUCAUGUUUUUCCUAACAUGCAUAGAUGAAGAACUGGAGACAAAAUUUGCUUAUAGCAAUCUUGGGCCAAUCACUUUUCCUGUGGAAUGAAAUAGUGACAAGCCAAGGCAUGAGCAAAAUUUUGAAAUUCUGAUUCUUUUGGAUCAUAAACUAUUGAUGUUCCAAAAUUCACUGUCCAAGGUGGAUUAUGAUACUGUUCAUGUUACUUUGGCAGUAAAUGUACAAAAGUCACUAGAAGAGGGCCCUCAGUCAUGGAUACUAUCAAUUUUCUUUCAUGCAUGAGGCAUCAGAUACUGAGGCUUAUGUAGAUGCAUAUAUGGGGCAGCUUUAUGGAACUCUUUACCGAACCAAAUGGAGUCUGGUGCUAUUCAAACAAGAAAGAAAUAAGGAAUAUGUCUAUGAUUGUUGUCAAUGCAUCCCAGCUAGAACACAUGGAUGCCACUGAAGGUUUGAAACGUUUAAUAAAACUUGAGAAGAAUAACAGGGAUGUAGAGUUUGUAACAGAUUGUGUAUCUGAAGGGCUUCCAGAGGUGUUGACAGGAUAGCUAUAUGCACAUGAUGGGUUUGAUGAGAAUGUGAUUUUUCUUUAACAAGGCAACUUGAUUACUAAUCCUCCUGCAAACUUCACGUCGAGGAACAUCUAACUGGGAGUUCCUGAAUGGUUGCCAUCUAAUGGCAUUACAUUUUUGAGUUUAAUGAAAAUGAAAAUAUUUGUUUAUUGACUAAAUACUUGAAGCAGCUUCUCUUAUGACUGUCCUAUAUAUAUUUUGGGGGUUUCUUCCUGUAUGUUGUCUGCAAUUUCGAUUGACAAUCUUAAGAUCUGUUAUUUGAU